GACGAACGCUGGCGGCGUGCUUAACACAUGCAAGUCGAACGGAAAGGCCCUGCGCUUGUGGGGCUCUCGAGUGCCGAACGGGGGAGUGACACGUGAGUAAAAUGCCCCUGUCUUUGGGAUAACUUUACGGGACUGCGGCGCAUACCGGAGAGGAUAUCCUGCUCCGUGGGGUGGAAUGGUAAGAUUCGGCUGUUGGGGAUGGACUCGCGGCUUAUCAGCUGGUUGGGCGGGUAGUGGCUUACCAAGGGUUUGACGGGUAGCCGGCCUGGGAGGGUGGCCGGCCACAUUGCGCCUGCGGUACGGCCCAGACUCCUACGGUAGGCAGCGGUGGGGAGUCUUGCAGAACGGGCGGAAGCCUGAUGCAGAAACGCCCCGUGCGGGAUGACGGCUUUCGGGGUGUAAACAGCUUUCGCAUGUGACGAAGAGUGAGUGACGGUAAUGGGUAAAGAAGCAACGGCUAACUACGUG
rnacentral:rRNA from 1 species